rnacentral:lncRNA from 1 species
CAGGGACUUGCUUUGAUCAAUGAAAUUUCAGCAGUCAUGAUACUAGCAAGGAUUAAAUUGAGUGUACACAGUGGGACAUGAUCUUUUGGAUCUCUGUCAUUGCCAUAAGAAUAAUAUAUCUUGCUUACUCUUUUGGUUCCAGGAAGAAGAGAGACAUAAGGAGCAUAACCUCCCUGGUUAAGCUGCCCAAAGUAAGCAGAACCACCUACAAAUACAUUUUCUGGAAUAUAUUAAAGGAAAAAAAGCAAAGAAACUACACGGCAUCAAAAUACAGGUAAGUGGCUGGGAGGGGGAGAUAGUACACGUAGUUCAGAUAAUCCUAUAUGUAUACAAGGAGCCCAAAGCAGUGCUCAUCAAUAAACUCACUUGGGACAGAGACA